GGGGAAUAUUGCACAAUGGAGGAAACUCUGAUGCAGCGAUGCCGCGUGAGGGAAGAAGGUUUUAGGAUUGUAAACCUCUGUCUUCAGGGACGAAAAAAGGACGGUACCUGAGGAGGAAGCUCCGGCUAACUACGUGCCAGCAGCCGCGGUAAUACGUAGGGAGCGAGCGUUGUCCGGAAUUACUGGGUGUAAAGGGAGCGUAGGCGGGAUCGCAAGUCAGAUGUGAAAACUAUGGGCUUAACCCAUAAACUGCAUUUGAAACUGUGGUUCUUGAGUGAAGUAGAGGUAAGCGGAAUUCCUAGUGUAGCGGUGAAAUGCGUAGAUAUUAGGAGGAACAUCAGUGGCGAAGGCGGCUUACUGGGCUUUAACUGACGCUGAGGCUCGAAAGCGUGGGGAGCAAACAGGAUUAGAUACCCUGGUAGUCCACACUGUAAACGAUGAAUACUAGGUGUGCGGGGACUGACCCCCUGCGUGCCGCAGUAAACACAAUAAGUAUUCCACCUGGGGAGUACGAUCGCAAGGUUGAAACUCAAAGGAAUUGACGGGGGCCCGCACAAGCGGUGGAUUAUGUGGUUUAAUUCGAAGCAACGCGAAGAACCUUACCAGGGUUUGACAUCCUGCUAACGAAGUAGAGAUACAUUAGGUGCCCUUCGGGGAAAGCAGAGACAGGUGGUGCAUGGUUGUCGUCAGCUCGUGUCGUGAGAUGUUGGGUUAAGUCCCGCAACGAGCGCAACCCCUAUUGUUAGUUGCUACGCAAGAGCACUCUAGCGAGACUGCCGUUGACAAAACGGAGGAAGGUGGGGACGACGUCAAAUCAUCAUGCCCCUUAUAUCCUGGGCUACACACGUAAUACAAUGGCGGUCAACAGAGGGAAGCAAAGCCGCGAGGCAGAGCAAACCCCCAAAAGCCGUCCCAGUUCGGAUUGUAGGCUGCAACUCGCCUGCAUGAAGUCGGAAUCGCUAGUAAUCGCGGAUCAGCAUGCCGCGGUGAAUACGUUCCCG
rnacentral:rRNA from 1 species